UAGACUAGCAGGAAAGAUUCAAGAGUUUCUGCAAUUUUCCUUUAAGUUUCAAGAAAUAUGUUUAACAUUAUAUAUUUUUUAAUUCAGUUGUCUUUAAUAAACGAUGUGGUUUCAGAUAUCUUGAUGACACAGUCUUCACCGCAGGUAAAGAAGCCUGGGGAAGCGUUUAAGAUAUCGUGUUCAGUUUCUGGAUUCAAGAUGACAGACUACUAUAUGAACUGGAUUCGUCAAGCUCCGGGUGAAGGGCUGGAGUGGGUCGGUAGUAUUAACAGUGGUAGCCCUUCAGCAUCGAACUACAGGGAGUACUCUUCAUCUCUAAAAGAUAGAUUCACAAUAACAGAAGACGUGCAGAGCAGCACUUUAUACUUACAAGGAAACAACCUGAAGACCGAAGACAGCGCUGUGUAUUACUGUGCUCGGGGACCACACUGUGAUAAAUACGUAAAGCAGGAAUACAAAAACUACGGUGCUAUAAAAUACGUUUCUCAUAACCAAUAA